rnacentral:tRNA from 1 species
GGAGUUGUGGCUCAACGGUAGAGCGCUCGUCUUGCACGUGCGAGACCCUGGGUUGGAGCCUCAGCACCA